GACGAACGCUGGCGGCGUGCUUAACACAUGCAAGUCGAGCGGUAAGGCCCUUUCGGGGGUACACGAGCGGCGAACGGGUGAGUAACACGUGGGUGACCUGCCUUUAGCUCUGGGAUAAGCCUGGGAAACCGGGUCUAAUACCGGAUAUGACUCCGCGGCGCAUGUUGUGGGGUGGAAAGCCUUGUGCGGCUGGAGAUGGGCCCGCGGCCUAUCAGCUUGUUGGUGGGGUGAUGGCCUACCAAGGCGACGACGGGUAGCCGGCCUGAGAGGGCGACCGGCCACACUGGGACUGAGACACGGCCCAGACUCCUACGGGAGGCAGCAGUGGGGAAUCUUGCGCAAUGGGCGAAAGCCUGAC
rnacentral:rRNA from 1 species